rnacentral:rRNA from 1 species
UACAGAGGGUGCUAGCGUUGUUCGGAAUCAUUGGGCGUAAAGGGCGUGUAGGCGGUUUGUUAAGUCAUGUGUGAAAUCCCUCGGCUCAACCGGGGAACGACGCAUGAAACUGGCAAGCUAGAGUACCAAAGAGGGGGGUGGAAUUCCCGGUGUAGCGGUGAAAUGUGUAGAGAUCGGGAGGAACACCGGUGGCGAAGGCGGUCUUCUGGACGGUGACUGACGCUGAGGCGCGAAAGCGUGGGGAGCAAACGGGG